GCAUAUCAAUAAGCGGAGGAAAAGAAACUAACAAGGAUUCCCCUAGUAGCGGCGAGCGAAGCGGGAAGAGCUCAAAUUUAUAAUCUGGCACCUUCGGUGUCCGAGUUGUAAUCUCUAGAAGUGUUUUCCGCGUUGGACCGCACACAAGUCUGUUGGAAUACAGCGGCAUAGUGGUGAAACCCCCGUAUAUGGUGCGGACGCCCAGCGCUUUGUGAUACACUUUCAAUGAGUCGAGUUGUUUGGGAAUGCAGCUCAAAUUGGGUGGUAAAUUCCAUCUAAAGCUAAAUAUUGGCGAGAGACCGAUAGCGAACAAGUACCGUGAGGGAAAGAUGAAAAGCACUUUGGAAAGAGAGUUAACAGUACGUGAAAUUGUUGGAAGGGAAACGCUUGAAGUCAGACUUGCUUGCCGGAGCUUGCUUCGGUUUGCAGGCCAGCAUCAGUUUUCCGGGGUGGAUAAUGACGGUUUGAAGGUAGCAGUCUCGGCUGUGUUAUAGCUUUCCGUUGGAUACAUCCUGGGGGACUGAGGAACGCAGCGUGCUUUUUGCGAAAGACUCGUCUUUUUCACGCUUAGGAUGCUGGUGGAAUGGCUUUAAACGACCCGUCUUGAAACACGGACCAAGGAGUCUAACAUGCUCGCGAGUAUUUGGGUGUCAAACCCGGAUGCGCAAUGAAAGUGAAUGUAGGUGGGAACCGCAAGGUGCACCAUCGACCGAUCUGGAUUUUUUAAGAUGGAUUUGAGUAAGAGCGCGUAUGUUGGGACCCGAAAGAUGGUGAACUAUGCCUGAAUAGGGCGAAGCCAGAGGAAACUCUGGUGGAGGCUCGUAGCGGUUCUGACGUGCAAAUCGAUCGUCAAAUUUGGGUAUAGGGGCGAAAGACUAAUCGAACCAUCUAGUAGCUGGUUCCUGCCGAAG
rnacentral:rRNA from 1 species